rnacentral:rRNA from 1 species
UACGUAGGGUCCGAGCGUUGUCCGGAAUUAUUGGGCGUAAAGGGCUCGUAGGCGGUUCGUCGCGUCGGGAGUGAAAACUCGGAGCUCAACUCCGAGCCUGCUUCCGAUACGGGCAGACUAGAGGUAGGCAGGGGAGAGCGGAACUCCUGGUGUAGCGGUGGAAUGCGUAGAUAUCUGGAGGAACACCGGUGGCGAAGGCGGCAUCCUGGAGCCGGCAUUGACGCUGAGGCGCGAAAGCCAGGGGAGCAAACGGG